CUUCACCGAACCGAGCCACAGCGGCCGAUCGCGGUCCUGGCCGUAGGUCGCCAGCAGCGCCUGGGCCUC
rnacentral:antisense_RNA from 1 species